GAUGAACGCUAGCUACAGGCUUAACACAUGCAAGUCGAGGGGUAACGAGAGGAAAGCUUGCUUUCCUUGUCGACGACCGGCGCACGGGCGAGUAACGCGUAUCCAACCUGCCCCCAACUAGGGAAUAACCUUGCGAAAGUAAGACGAAUACCCUAUAAUUUCCUCAGAUGACAUCUGACGAGGAAUAAAGAUUUAUCGGUUGUGGAUGGGGAUGCGUCUGAUUAGCUUGUUGGCGGGGUAACGGCCCACCAAGGCAACGAUCAGUAGGGGUUCUGAGAGGAAGGUCCCCCACAUUGGAACUGAGACACGGUCCAAACUCCUACGGGAGGCAGCAGUGAGGAAUAUUGGUCAAUGGGCGGAAGCCUGAACCAGCCAAGUAGCGUGCAGGAUGACGGCCCUAUGGGUUGUAAACUGCUUUUAUACAGGAAAAAAGUUAGCCACGUGUGGUUAUUUGUAGGUACUGUAUGAAUAAGGACCGGCUAAUUCCGUGCCAGCCGCCGCCGUAA
rnacentral:rRNA from 1 species